UUUUUGUAUUUCGAUAUUUCGUUACAUACUUUGACUAGUGUUUAAAGUAAGCCGCAGAAUAAGGAAUUCGCAAUCGUCGUUAAACAAUCACUAUUCCCUUUUUCCGCCAAAUAAGUGCACAGAGUUAGAAAGUGGAGGUCAGGCUCUACAAGUAGACGCCCUAAAAUUCACUAAUGAUCCUUCCGCAGGUUCACCUACGGAAA
rnacentral:misc_RNA from 1 species